AGCCCCGUGGUGAAGAAGCACGCUGGAUUGCAAGUCCAGAGACGUAGAUUAACAAUCUGCCGGGGCUU
rnacentral:tRNA from 1 species